UCUCCAAAUUCCAUUGAUUUCAUUUAUUAUUGAAUUCAUUACUAAUAACUAGAAAUUCCAUUUUAUGUUUAAUUGUCUGGCAUUCUGAUGCGAGAUGCCUUGAUGACGAACGUUUCCGUAAAUAUGUUGCAGAUAUAAAAGAAGAAACUCUCCAGCUGAAAUCAGUUAUUAGAAGCACCGAGAAGAAGAUCAUAACCACUUUGAAAAAUAAAAAGAAUUACAUUCGCAAUCCCAAACUUUUCCGUACCGUUGCCCGUAUUUUUGGAUUUAUUUUAAAUAUUCUUGAAAAAUCGGUAAAUUUAGUCAAAUCUUCGACAAUUUUGUUCGGGUAAAUCGAUUCCUAUUGAAUUCAAACUUUCUAAGGUUUCAUUUUUUACAGAAAAAAUACGAUUUUUUAGGAAUUUGUCCCUUGACACGGUGUGUACGGAAAAGUAAAAAAUGAGACAUUAUUUGGCUGUUGUGUUUAUUUUGGUGGGAGUUUUACAUUUGACUACAGCUAAUCCCAAGAAUUGGAUUACUAAGGGAGCUAAAAUGGCGAUGAGAAGGUGAAUUUAUUCAAAUGAAACUUGAACGUUAAAAAAAGAAUGAAAAACGGCUCCCGAUUUUGGAAUAAAAAUUUGUUUUUCAGUCCUAUCGUUGCUCAAGUUCCUGGUGCCCAAAUCGGUAUAGGUGGUGCAACAGCGUAAGUGAAUCACGAUGUUUUCAUCAGUCCUGGAUGUUCCAAUGACUUAUUCCCUUAACAUACAGUGCAUUGUUAGCAGCGAAAAAAUUCAAAGAGACUGGGGAUUAUAAGAAGGCAAUGAGCGCUGGCGGUGAAUCUAUCCUAGAAAGCGCUAAUGACAUGGCCGACAGUAAUCCUACACUUGGUUUGCUCAGAUCUGGGUCGAAAGUUGCUAUGAAUGUGAGCUCGGGUAAAAAAGGUUUAUCAGCAGCACUUAAAGAUGGUGCCAAUGAACUAGUCGAAUCCAAUCAAACAUUCCAGACGGUUAAAGCCGGGACCAAUCUAGCAAAAGACUUGAGCCAGAAUGGUAUCAAAACGACAGUUUCGGAACAGCAAGUCAAUUGAUAGAAUCGCUUUAAUUUCAAAUAAAUAUAAAGAAGCGAUAAGAUCUUCUAUGUAAUUUUUGCCUAAAAUGAUGUUGUAGUUGAAAUACAGUUGUCGCCACCAACAACUGUAAGUUAAUAACAAUAGCUUUGUGGUGAAUUCAAAAACAGUGUUUGAUUUCUUAAAAAGAAUGAAAAGAUUUGUUUCAAUGUCGUAUGAAUUUCAUAGAAGCACAAGAAAUACUAUAUAAAUUACAAUUGAACCGAAUUAUUUGGCCGAGAAAGAGUUGAAAAUAAUUAUAUCAAUUAUCUGUUAUGCGAUUUCAAAAUAAAUACACUGCUUACGCUAUUCCACACAAACACAUUGCUGAAAUCAUGUUCAUUGAACUAUCAUCGUCGAUCUGGAAUAACUUCUUGUUACCAUCAGCGCGAAUUUUUUUAUUUUAUUUUUUUUUUAUUCUAUUGAACACCGCCAAGCUCUGGCUGAAUAUAAUGUGGGUUUUGAUUAAGGUUUGGCCGGAAAAGAGUGCAAGACUGUUACAUAUUUAGAUUAAUAAACAAUUAGUAGUGAUAACUUUCGAUAACUUUCAGUGCUCGCCUAGGACAGCAAGAGUCGUCGCUCAAUUUAUACCGGUAGAUAAAUUGACGAGAAGUUUUACGUCUGUGAAGGCAGAUCCAUGUUGAUUGCAGAGUGCAUUGAGUUGACAUGGACUGUGAUUUGAAACGUAACUAGAGCAUUUGAUGCUAAUUGAUAAAUAAUUCAAAAUUGACUUCAAAGAUAAGAAUAUUAAGUCGCCAACUCGUGGAUGGCUACAACAAAGCACAAAAUCAAAAUUUACAAUAAAUAAGUGUAAACAUCACAGAUAAGUAUCAUCAUUUCAAUACACAUAAAAGAAUGUA